rnacentral:rRNA from 1 species
ACGAACGCUGGCGGCGUGCCUAAUCCAUGCAAGUCGAGCGGACGGAUGGGAGCUUGCUCCCAGACCGUCAGCGGCGGACGGGUGAGUAACACGUGGGCAACCUGCCUGUAAGACUGGGAUAACUCCGGGAAACCGGGGCUAAUACCGGAUAACUCUUUCCCUCACAUGAGGGAAAGCUGAAAGAUGGCAUCUCGCUAUCACUUACAGAUGGGCCCGCGGCGCAUUAGCUAGUUGGUGAGGUAACGGCUCACCAAGGCGACGAUGCGUAGCCGACCUGAGAGGGUGAUCGGCCACACUGGGACUGAGACACGGCCCAGACUCCUACGGGAGGCAGCAGUAGGGAAUCUUCCGCAAUGGACGAAAGUCUGACGGAGCAACGCCGCGUGAGUGAUGAAGGUUUUCGGAUCGUAAAACUCUGUUGUCAGGGAAGAACAAGUACCGGAGUAACUGCCGGUACCUUGACGGUACCUGACCAGAAAGCCACGGCUAACUACGUG